UAGGGGGAACUACCAUUAUUUCAGACUUGCGUUGUCGAAUCAUAGGAUAAGUGUACACAAUACUGUUCGUGCGGCACUAGAGCAGACACAAACUGGCCUGUGACGCUUCUCUACCUCACUUGUAUCAUGCCAGAGGCGAGCCCUUAACGACUGGCUUCAACCUUAAAAACUGUUAAAUAUAUAUUACCGUUUUCUGUGCAGUGGGGUUACUAGUUCACUACAAAUUCAAAACGCUAUGGCUUCCUGUCGUAUUAAUUAAUUGUAAAAUUACUAUUAGUCUUUCGGUAGAUUGUAUCUUUCAUGAUUUCAUUGUAGUUAUGUAAAAUGUUCUUGUGCAAAAAGUUAACGGAAUAAUUCGUCCCGACUAUUGCACCUAAACAAUAGUAGACUACCGGUUCGUAGUAGUACAAUUAUCAUCGCCACAGGGGUCUACACAAGGCAGUCAGAAUAACAAACGCGCCUUAAGUAAAAUUUUGAUGCUAGUCUCCGGACACUUCCCCACUAGCAGUUCAAAAAGUUGUAGUUGGCUAAUAUACAGUAUAGCCAUUCACGUUAAUUGACUGUAUUCCAGUUACUUAACAUUAUCUUUAACACUUAAUGUUGAAUGUAGACGGUUAAGCUUUAGUGUGAAAGUGAACUAAACUUUGUUAGCAGUAGAGGUGUACCUUUACUUUAGGAUUUAAAGGACAGUCUUUUAGGAUUUUUUUUCUCGUUCACCUCGCGCCCCCUCCCCGGAAGGACCGACCACCACUCGGAUGGUGCGAGUAAAACUAUUCUGCACCAGUUUCUCUUCUCCCUUCCCAGAAGUCUUCCUUAAGACUGUACAGUGUCUGCAAAGACACUAACCAAUUUCAAACUAGUCUUUCCAGUUCCAUAGAACGUCCAACAGUUCUCUCAAAGCGGCAGCAUUGUUCAUACUCCUUCCUGCAUUUACGAUACCAAGUUUCCUUUGGUCCCCCAUCUUCUCAGCCUUCAAAGCCACAGCCAACUCGACCCUCCAUCCUGUGGAAUACCUUUUAACAUGGUGAGAUCCAGUUCAUGUGGACAAGGCAACGAGCGAGGCGGGAGGACCUGGAGGCGGUCAUCAACAGUCCCACACCAACUGGUCUCACACUGGAGGGCUCGGUCGACCACUGCCAGACAACAGUGAAGGCAAAGAAGACUCUCUGGGUACGUGAAGAACAUAUAACGGCAUAAAGUGGCACGACAAGACUACGUGGAGACGCAUGCCGUCAGAAUAUUAGUUUUUAGUUUUGCCAGGAAAUGGCCUAGUUUACCGAAUGAUGUUGUAAAAUAAUAAAAUUUA